rnacentral:lncRNA from 1 species
UUUGUGUUUGAUCUUCCUAUCUCUACUCCUUACUUUCAUGUGCAUGUCUUUACUUUCCUCCGCUAUAAUCUUAGACUUGCAUGUGUAGGGUGUGCUUGACUUGGUAUAAUUGCUAAAACUUGCCAACUAUUAAAAUUGGGAAAAUGCUAAGUUUUAUUUUGUCAAGUGUAUAUUCACCCCCCCUCUAGACGUCCCUUCGGUGAUCCCACAGUGUGCGAUCUAUAACGGAAAUCACACAUAACUCAUAGCGCAACCUCGUGUGAUCUACAGGAGAAGCACAUGAAAUAUAAACAUAAACGUUGGUGAUACAUAAGAAAUAGAACACUAUUUGCAGCACUUCUAGUGUGCAUAGGGGCUCCUCAAUCGUUUGCAAUAGCACCUUAUCACACACAUGAACCAAAAGGAAAUUGUGCCCGAUGCAAAUAGCAAUCCCACGCGUAAAUUAUUCAAGAAACAUGUGAGAUGAUAUCAUGCAUGGCAUAAGCUUCCCACACAAAACUCUCGUGCGAUGAUGCAUAUAUCACACACAAUUUCUACGAUGGACCAUCUUACUAAGUUAAUAUUUUGCAAACGGUUAAAGGUCAAACAUUGUUUGUUUUCCAAGAGAAAUUAGACACAUUUUAGUCAUGAUAGACGUGUGCGAUUGGUCCACAAAUCCCACAUGUGUAGUGUGUGCAAUAUGUUAAUGCAUCACACACAAUUAUAUUUGGCACAACGUGUGCACCAUCGGUCACCAUCUCAAACGGUUUCUGUGUCGUGUGGGAUGGACCCCCCUAUCGCCCAACACAGGCAAGGGGAAGGUUUAAAUCUACGUCGUGGAAAGGGGUUAAAAUCCAUUUGUAUAGGACGUCGUUGUACCAGUGGCAUAACAUGGCAAUAGCAAAGUCGUCAUGAUGAAGUGAAACAUACACAAAGCACAAGUAGCGACUAAUCAGGAUAAGCACGUGUAAGACAAGGUGACUGGAGAAUUUGCAUUGAGGAAAUUGAGAAAGUCUUCAGUCAAUGUCAUAAAAGAGUAAUGAUCAAUUUCGUAAAGGAAAUGAAAGGCUUGAGGAAAUAGAACCAGUAGCUCGGUGAAGACAAUAAUUUGGUCUACCAGUUCCUACAGUUGUGACAGUCGUAUGUCUGAUUUGGAGUAGCUUGGUAUUUAAACCAAAGGACACACAGUCCGAGGACAAAUAGUCCCACGACACACAGUCCUUACCGUAUUCUCCUUGAGUUAGAGUCACACAAACUCGGGCCAAUCACUUGUGGUAAGUAUUCAAGCUAGACUUCCAAACCUUCAUAAACUCUAUUACCCGACGAUCCACAAUUUCUUCUUCGAUGCUCUAGACCAUGCCGCUUAACCGUCUGGAAGAUACAUGAUACGUCUCCAAUGUAUCGAUAAUUUAUGAAGUAUUCAUGGCAUAUUUGCCUAUAUUUACUAUAUUUUAAUAUGGUUUUGAUGCACUUUAUAUGAUUUAUUUAGAACUAACCCAGACUGACGUGUUUUCAGCAAAAUUAUUGUGGUGUUGUUUUUGUGCAGAAAAUAAAAGUUCUCGAAGUCGCCCAAACCUUUUUUUAUGAUUUUAUCUGGGGAAAAUAACAAAUAUAGGAGCAAAGAACCACCAGAGGAGAACCACCUAUUGGACACAAGCCAACAGGGCACGCCCACCCCCAUGGGCGCACCCUGUUAGCUUGUGGGGACCACAUGGCUCCGACUAAUGUGAUUCCAACGCUGAAAAUUCCUAUAAAUCCAGAAACCCCUGAAAGUUAAACUAGAACUUCCGCUCCACCGUCACAACUGUGUGUAUGAAAGAAAAACCCAUCUAGAGCCUUUCCGGCACCCUGACAGAGGGGGCAAUCAUGACCGGAGGCCAUCUUCAUCAUCCCGGCGACCACCAUGAUGAGGAGGGACUAGUUCACCCUCGGGGAUGAGGGUAUGUACCAGUAGCUAUGUGUUUGAUCUUUCUAUGUCUUGUGUUCUUGAGAUGCCAUGAUCUUGAUGUCACGGGCUUUUUUAAUAUAGUUGGAUCAUAUGGUGUUCGUCCCUUGAUAUCUUAAUGUGAUCAGUUGAGUCUUUCCCUUUGAGAUUUUGUUAUGUUGGAUUGAAUACUUUGGAUCCGAACACUUGAUGUAUGUCUUGCAUGUGGAUACACGUGGUGAAAAUAGGGUAUUCUAUUGAUUUUCUUGAUAUAUGUUAUGGCACCAACUUGUGGAUUCCGGUGACCUUGGGGAUCUAUGCAUAUGGGUUGAUGAAUGUUUUUUCCCUACUUUCUCUCAUAGAAAUAUUGGGGUACUCCUUGAAGUUCUUUGUGUUCGAUUGAAUAUGACGAGUAUGUAAUUUUUUUAUGCAUGUCUAAUAAUUAACCCAUGGAUACUUGAGGUGUCAUUGGAGUAUCUAGGUGACAUUAGGGUUGACUGAUAUGUAUCGUAGGUGUUAUUCCAGUAUGGACUCUAGGGAUGUUUGUGACACUUAUAGGAAUAUCUCAAUGGAUUGGUUGGAAAGUAUAACUUUGAGGUGGUUCGCUACCUACAACAAUUUCAUCUUAUGUUCUCCUCUACCUAUGAACUUUGGAGAGAUUCUUCGUUGCACCUUGAGGGAUGAUUGUAUGAUUCUAUUAUGUUAGCAUUUUUGAGAGAUUGCACUAGUGAAAUUAUGAACCCUAGUGUUUCUAAGCAAUAAUAUACCGUUUUUCUCACUGUUUACUAGUUACGUUGCUGUUUUUUAUGUAUUCACGUUAUAAACAUAUAUUUCUACUAUACAUACUAUACUUGUAUCACCAUAUCUUUAACGAACUAGUGCACUAUACAAUUUUCCAUUGUAUUGGGUGUGUUAGGGACACAAGAGAUUUCUUGUAUUUGAUUGCGGGGUUGCUUGAGAGAGACCAUCUUCAUCCUAAACCUACCAUGGACUGAUAGACAUUAGGUCAUCCACUUGAGGGAAAUUUGUUGAUGUCCUACAAAACUCUGCUCUUGGAGGCCCAACAACGUCUACUAGAAUAAAGUUGCAUAGUAGAAAUCAAGCUCUUUUCUUGCGUUGUUGCCAGGGAGGUGAGUGCUUGAAGGUAUAUCUUUAGAUCUUGCAAUUAAAUCUUUUAGCGUCUCAUUUUUCAAUAUUAUGGUUUUACAAAAGAAAACUAGGAAAAUGGAAUUCAGGUUACCUCAGUUGCUUCGCCUUUUAAUGUCGUUCGUGAAAAUGAUGGUUCAAAAAAUUGAGCUCAAUUAUUAGAGGAAGAUUUUAUAAAAAUGGUUAGUGUGAAUUCCUUGAAUGAUGAGCAUGAUACUAAUAUUAUUAGUAUGAAUUUUCUGAAUAUCCAUGAUGCUAAUGAUAUGCAAAUCCACAAGCUUGGGGAUGCUAUGUUUUGUGAAGAUGAUAUUUUUUGUCCCCCAAGUUUUGAUGAGCAAUUUUUUUGUGAUGAUAGCAUGCCUCCUAUUUAUGAUGAUUAUAUUGAUGAAAGUGGGUUCGGAAGAGUUUUAACUCUAGGUACUAAUGUUCUCACUAUUUUGGAGGGUGUUGAAUCUUUUGAUAAGGAUGAAAGUGGAUUUGGAGAGGUCAUGACUUUAUUUAGUGAAGAGUCCACUAUUUGGGAAGAGGUUUCAAUUGGCUAUGACAACAAAGUCGAUAUCUAUAAAGAUUAUGGUGAUGACAUGUAUGCUAUAAAGAGAUAACCAUUAAACUUCUCAUCAUGAUUUUAAUUCUCAAUUGGAUUAUGCCACUCAAAUAUAAAUUAUAGUUAUUUUCUUGAGUUUGUUCCCACUACUAUGAAUGAGAAGAAUUUUGCUUGUGUGGGUAGUAAUAAACAUUCUAUGCUUGUGCAUCAUGAAAAGAUUGCUUUAGGUGAUAGUUAUAUUGUUGAAUUCCUUCAUGAUGCUACUGAAAAUUAUUAUCAGAGGGGAAGAUAUGCUUAUGUAUAUUUAAAUAAUAUCACAUUUCCUCUCUAUGUGUUCAAAGUUUUGAAGUCAUGCUUGUUUUGCCUUCCAAUGCAAGUUGAUUCUUGCUACAAUAAAUUGUUUGCUUGAAAAAUCCCUAUGCAUAGGAAGUGGGUUAGACUUAAAUGUGCUUGACAUGUGAUCCAUGAUGCUCUCUUGCAUGUUUCAAUUACUACUUUUUAUGUGAGCAUCAUUGAAAUCAUCAUGAUCAGAAGCUGUCCUAGCCAGAGGGAGGACCUCAGUUAUUGGGUAAAAUGAGAUCCAAUUGGAGGAUGUAAAAAACCAAUUAAGUUUUUCCAACAAGGAUGAGCCCUGCAUGUUUGACCAAGUGUAAGAUCUACCUUUAAGUGGCAAUUCAAGAAGAUCAAGGUGUCCAAUUCAACAAGAGUCCUGCAUGUUUGACCAAGUGUAAGAUCUACCUUUAAGUGGCCAUUCAAGAAUACCAAGAUGUCCAAUGCCCAUAUAGUGUCACCAAAGUCCAUCUCUCAUUAUUUCACCUGGAAGUGAAAUGGAUAAUGACUACAAAAGGUUGAACUUCCACUAACAUACCAUCGAGGAUAAUAGAGUUCUAGACCACCAGGAUACCUCGAGAAGCACCCACAGUAGGUACAUAGGCAAAAGUGUCAAACUGCUUAGGGAAAAAGUCUUUAAUUUCUCGGAUAUCAAAACUAUUACAUUUUAUCUCUUAGAAGCAAGCCACCACACACAAACUUUCAUUAAUUUUCUACUUGACAACACGUUUCCUAGUAGGGGAAAUGAGUCCCCGCACAUUCCAGCAAAGAACAAUCAAGCUUUUGCAAUUGCUAUUACUCAUGAUAAACAACACAAGGAAAUAAGUAAAAAGUACUACAGAAUAGUACCACAGACAGUGCAGACACAUAAAAAUCAAAGGUUCACAACCUAGGAUAUUACAAAUAUCAUUGAAAGCCAACAAUACAAAUCAAAAUAACACAACCAAUUUAUGGGCUUGCCAAACCCUGAUGAUCAUAUGGGAAUUAGUCAUCGCUUUCGGCAGUCUUGUCAUCAUCAGGAUUGGCCAUAAGCUUCUCUAGAGUGAGAUGAGCAUCCGGGAUCCCUGGGUCCUCAUCAAUCUCCUUGAUUCGUCUGAUUGGGGCUGGAGGUGGCACACCAUCUGGACCCUCUGCUUCCUAAUCUUCCUCUGAGAGUGAAGCAUUUAGGGGCUUACACCUUGGCUUCUUCUUCUUUCGAUGUUGAGGAAGUUCCUAAAAAUAGGUUUAUAACCAUCGCAUUUAAAUGAACCACGAGCGCUCCUACGAAUUGAUGUUUCCACUAUAAGUGUUGGAGAAAGCGUCUUACGUUGGCGAGUCCUCUUUGUGUCACAUUGUGUUGUGAAGGAGAAAGCUUCUUGAGGUGUAGAAGAAGGAUCAUCAAAUUUCACCAGGCUAUCAGCAACAUUGUCCGAAUAGCUAAAAUGAGAUUCAUCAUUGCUAUCAGUGUCAAACAUGACCGGUUCAGAGAACAGGCCACGAGCAGCAUGCCGAGGCUUGGAUGUGCUGGUCAGUUGGGCCUCCAUCCACUGCAGUUUUGACACCACAUGGAUAUCAUCAAAAGCAAGGGCCCAACUACACUUGGAAAGUAGUAUGGGCUUCAAAUCCACCACGGGCAUCUGAGGAGGGAUUUCUAAAUUGGGGCAGAGCUGCAUGAGAGGUUGAAAAGACCUUCUCGAGGCCAAUUCAGGCGGCAAAAGUGGCCCAUAAACAACCUUGACCGAACCCACAAUACUUCUGUCGUAAUGAAUAACUAGCGGCUAGUAUGGUACAAUUGCCCAAGCAUUGGCAUCAAAGAACUGUUGUGGGGGCUGGCAUUUGAACUUCAGAUUCAUAUUGCACAUAGUAGUUUAUAACCAUAGACUCUUGGUCUUGAACAGGUGGAUCAUGAAUGUGCUGCUGACUUUCCUGUUGAGCUUCAUUCUCAUCACCCCAAUGACCAUGGCCCCAAUUAUCAGGAUCAAAAUGAUCAGGCAUUGGAGGCGGCACUGGUGGGAGGUCAUUCCAACUGAUGGCAGGAUGAGGUGGCAACACAAAAUUAUGAACAUCUGGAACAAAUUCACCUGGCAUGGGGAGUAGAUUUCCAUCCAAUGACAUUGGGUCCUCAUCCGCUGGCAUCUUAUGAGCAAAUUUUGCACCUAGAAUGAAACAAGGCGCAAUCCAGGAAACCUUGGCACCCCCAUAGGCAGCGUAAUCAGUGAAAACCACGUCCCAAGAGACCAGGAUGUCCCGAGGGAAUGAAGCAAAACUUUGAUCUGACCAAAUAAGGAUCAUCUUCGACCCAGUGUUAGAACUUGCUAAAGGUGUUGACUGCGGCACUAAUAUUCUUUGUAUUGCACAAAUCAAGAGGAAUAUCGAGAAACAUAAGACAUCCAUCAUGAAAACCAUGAGUGCCCGUAAAACCAACCCCUUCAUCAUUCUUGAAAAAGCGAACAAAAGUAUCAUUGCCCAAUGGCUAAGGUGGAAUUUGUAGUAGGGGGAAUCGUACACCAGCAUCCCGAAGCCUAAACAGCCCUACACCACAUACCCAUGGCUGAGCAUAUCGAACCUGAACUCCUUGGACCUCCAAGAAAUCGACCACAACUUCACGGGCAGGCCCCACCUGAUGCGGCUCCGGCAAUGGCAUAACUUCAGCCACCAUGUACUCCUCAUGACACCCUACAAUCGACAACGAUGGGGAGACGAAAGUCCUUGGCAGACGAUUGGUACCACCAUCAAUGAUAUGGUGGCCCGCAUGCACAUACUGAUGAGGAUCAAUGGGGAAGACUGCCAUGUGCUCCAACGACAUAGCCGGAGAGGGCAUAGCGGUGGAGGAGUCACCGGAGGACUGCCAGUGGGGGUUCUUGGUGGAGAAGUAAUGAGACUAGAUGAGUCGGCCCUGUCAGAGAUGGCUUAGUUGAAAGAGAGACAUGGAGGCAGCCUCAAGACCGAUAUUGGGAACCGGAGGAGCCAACCGAUAUUUUGUCUUCCAAGCAAACCUCGCUCGGUUGCAAUCUUAUCACAAUCCUGCCUUCUAUGGCCCGUGCGUGAGCAUGCCAAGCAAACAAUAUUUAAAGGGCAGUUAUUUCUAAGUGGCGAGACAUAGAGCAUUUUUGGCAAGUCAAGAUUUCUUCCACCAUAUUAUUAAUCAUGGAUGCAAAAUCCUUCUUAGCAUCCUGCGACGCAGGUACCUCGUGUGAGGAACGAGUUUAUGAAACCGGAGACGAGCCGAUGCUACUUGGCACAAAAGGAUCGACUGAUGGGCCCCACUAGGGGUGAAGCAGGGUCAUCAGGCCCAGAGAAUAAUGACCCAACAUGGGCAAUUGAUGCACACGUCCCGCCUAAAGGUUCCUUUGAAAUUUCAGGCAUAGGGGAUGAUUGACCACGCAAAUCACAGCGUUGUCGAACCACCGAUGAACUCAUCGUGCGAACACAAUUAGCGGCGAGGCCACAGUGCAUUGAAGAUAAAUAGGUGGAGGUGGAUGAAUGAUGAGACACUCAUUAUCUGGAGUAUCAUAUUCAAUAAUCUCCGUGGUAACAAUAGAGUUGGUCAUGGCAUGAUAUCUAUAACCUUUACAAACACUAUAGUUUUGAAAGGUAGCAAAAGAUACCUUCUUAUGAAUCGAAGAACGUGACUUGAUAGCAGAUUUGAUAGGAGGAUUAUGCAUAGCUAAAAGACCCAAAGCAGCUCUGCGCUUGGAAGGGCUCACCAGAAUCCACUCAGCAUCACAUUCUUUCUUCCAAACUUUGAAUUCACGGACCCAAUUAGGUACUUCAUUACCCCAAAGAUGAAAGUAGCAUUUGAAUUGUCGGCAAGAGAAGGACCGUAGAUCCACAAUGUAAAAGCCAACCUCCUUGCACGAAACAUUAAACUGAAUACCUUAUCACCAAUGGUUGAAACCAUGAUAUCGAUGGCAGAACCCCCAACAUAGAUUCAAGUGGAACCGCCACAGAAUCCUCCGUAAGCCUAAAACCAUGUGUGCUAAAUGAGGCCACCACAGUGAAGGAUCCCAUAUUCUCCGUAGGACGAACUGUGAGGCCCGAAGCAUUAUAGAUCUCAUAUACAAAAACUCUACCCUUGGAGAAAUCCAGGCCAAGAGUAGAUCUAGAAUAGGAACCCAUCACAAUGGGUACGAGGAUGUAGAUCAGAGGACAGUGGAAAGGAUGAUCGGAGAAAAACCUAAAGUUACUCGGAGUGUGUGGAGAUAGCCGGUGUGUUAGGGUUUAGGGGUGGGUGGUGGGUGGGUGGGUGCACCAUAUUUGAUUAUUUUGUCUCCUGUCAAUUAACCAAUCUGUAUAAUGACAAACUGAAAGGAUGGUAGGAAAAAUACCGUACCUAGAAUCCUUCAUAUAAGUAUCAUCGAUGACCACAUUAGCAGACUUGCCGCUCUUCUCAUGUUCGUGCUACUCAUAGCGAUUAGGACAUCUCGGAGCUAGUGAUUAGGAUCAUCACAGACAUGGAGUAGUCCCUUCCUCUUCUUAUGAGAAUUCUUCUUGAAGUUGGUAGAGUGUGAUAGCUUGUUCUUUGCAACAAACUUGCCUUUGUCCUGAGUUUUGUUCUUGUUGUUUUGGGGCUUGUUGAGAUGGAAGUUCUUCUUCUAUACCAUCUGGGCACUAGAAGAUCCCUCAACAGAUCGAGCAUGUGUGUAUUUUGCUCGUGCCUGAUGACCCACAAGUAUAGGGGAUCAAUCGUAGUCCUUUCGAUAAGUAAGAGUGUCGAACCCAACGAGGAGGAAAAGGCUCUGAUAAACGGUUUUGAGCAAGGUAAUAACUGCAAGCACAGAAAGUAGCGGUAACAAGUGAUGGUGUAGUGAGGUGAAACGUAGCAAGCGAAAAGUAACAAAUAACAAGUAGUAGCAACGGUGCAGCAAGUGGCCCAAUCCCUUUUGUAGCAAGGGAAAAGCCUGAACAAAGUCUUAUAAGAGGAAAAACGCUCCCGAGGACACACGGGAAUUUCUGUCAUGCUAGUUUCAUCAUGUUCAUAUGGUUCGCGUUCGUUACUUUGAUAGUUUGAUAUGUGGGUGAACCGGCGCUUGGGUACUGCCCUUACUUGGACAAUCAUCCCACUUAUGAUUAACCCCUCUCGCAAGCAUCCGCAACUAUGAAAUAAGAAUUAAGACAACGUCUAACCAUAGCAUUAAACUAGUGGAUCCAAAUCAGCCCCUUACGAAGCAACGCAUAGACUGGGGUUUAAGCUUCUGUCACUCCAGCAACCCAUCAUCUACUUACUACUCCCCAAUGCCUUCCUCUAGACCCAAAUAUGGUGAAGUGUUAUGUAGUCGACCUUCACAUAACACCACUAGAGGAAAAACAACUUACAGCAUAUCAAAAUACCGAAUGAAGACCAAAUUCACAUGACUAUUAUUAGCAUGAUUUAUCCCAUGUCCUCAGGAACAAAAGUAACUACUCACAAAGCAUAAUCAUAAUCAUGAUCAGAGGUGUAAUGAAUAGCAUCAAGGAUCUGAACAUAAACUCUUCCACCAAGUAAUCCAACUAGCAUCAACUACAAAGAGUAAUCAACACUACUAGCAACCUUACAAGUACCAAUCGGAGUCGCGAAACGGAGAUUGGUUACAAGAGAUGAACUAGGGAUUUGCGAGGAGAUGGUGUUGAUGAAGAUGCCUCCCCUCCGACGAGAGGAGUGUUGGUGAUGACGAUGGCGACGAUUUCCCCCUCCGGGAGGGAAGUUUCCCCGGCAGGAUCGUCCUGCCGGAGCUCUAGAUUGGAUCUUCUCAAGUUCCGCCUUGUGGCGGCGGAGAAAUCACGAAAAAGCUCCACCUUGAUUUUUUUCGGACGAAACCCUUCAUAUAGCAAAAAAGGGGGGCCAGUGGGCCGCCAGGGUGCCCACAAGCCCUGUAGCCGCGGCCAGGGGGUAGGCCGCGGCAACCAGGCUUGUGGGCCCCUGAUUGCUCCCCUCUGACACUUCUUUCGCCCAGUAUUUUUUAUAAAAUCCAAAAAAAAUCCACGUUGAUUUUCAGGGCAUUUGGAGUUGCGCAGAAUAGAGCACUCAGACUUGCUCCUUUUCCAGUCCAGAAUUCCAGCUGCCGGUAUUCUCCCUCUUCAAAUAAACCUUGCAAAAUAAGAGAGAAAAGGCAUAAGUAAGGUUCCACAAAGUGUAAUAACAGUCCAUAAAGCGAUAAAUAUCAACAUGAAAGCAUGAUGCAAAAUGGACGUAUCAACUCCCCCAAGCUUAGACCUCGCUUGUCCUCAAGCAAAAAACCAAGACCCAAAACAUGUCCACAUGUUUAGGGAUGAGGGUGUCAAAAAAAACAAAAUACGAACAUGGGGGCAUCAUGAUCACACAUAGAACAACAAUGCAUCAUAGAGAUUCUUAUGGGAAAGUAACAAUUCCUUCACAAAGCAAAGUAUGAAACAAAAACAUUACCGAGAAGUGGCCAACAACCGUCCAAAAUCAUUGAAGCAAUUGCAAUUUAUCAUAUUAUCAGAAAGAGUCCAAUAAGAGCUUGUAAGGCAAAUCCACAUACUCAAUCAUCUAUUUUGUUUUCCACAAUUGUUACAACUCAUGCGGUACUCAUGGUAUCGAAGUUUCAGUUGGACACAGAGAAAGAUAGGGGUUUAUAGUUUGCCUCCCAACCAUUUACCUCAAGGGUAAAGUCAACAAUAAUAAAGCAUAAGUACUCAGCUCCAAGUUGAAAUAUGAAUAUAGAUCUUUCCCAAGCAUAUGACGUUCACCAAGAAAAAGGCUAAAUUAGGAAUUGGUGAAGAUCACCAUGACUCUUACAAAGGCAAAAGGUAAAGGUACAAGAUAGGCCCUUCGCAGAGGGAAACAGAGGUUGUCAUGCGCUUUUGAGGUUUGGAUGCGUGUCCUCUUAGUGCGGAUGAACGUCACUUUAUAUUGCCUCCUGUGAUAAAGAACUUUAUUAUGCAGUCUGUCGCUUUUAUGUCUUCCUCAUCACAUGUUCGUACAAAGCUUAUUUUCCUCACACUAAUAGAUCAUACAUAUUAGGGAGCAAUUUUUAUUGCUUGCACCGAUGACAACUUACUUGAGGGAUCUUAUUCAAUCCAUAGGUAGGUAUGGUGGACACUCAUGGAAAAACUGGGUUGAAGGUUUAUGGAUGCACAAGUAGUAUCUCUACUUGGUGCAGGAGUUUUGUCUAAUAUGAGGUGGAAGCAAUCGUCACAUGCUAAGGGAUCUCUAAUCAUAUAACAUUGUUUGGCACCAAGCAAACACAAUUAAUUAUGUUGUCUUCCUUGUCCAACAUCUACUUCUAGGCAUGUAAUAGUUUGGUGAGUGCUCACAAUUAUAGAAAGUGUCUAAGAUGAUAUAUUUAUAUGUGAACCUCUCUUUCCUUAUUACUUCUUAUUAAUUGCAACAAUGACUGAGGUCUAUGUUGGUCUACUCUCAACAAGUUUCAAUCAUCAUACUUGUUUUAUGUGAAGCUAUCACUUUCCAUAAGAUCAUCUCAUGAUCUCUCAUGCUAUCGUUCUUUUCAUACUUUUGAUCACGGCACAAAACAAAGCCCUUGACUAAAACACUCUUUAUUAUAUAGCUCGCAAGCUCGAAUACAUCGGGAGAGACACAAGGUAAAAGACUCAAACUAAACACUAAAGACUUAUUCCACUAAGAGAAGAAAUAAAACUGAAAAGGAAAGAACUAAAACAAGGGUAAAAGCAAAAGAUAUAAAGGUGAUACGAUACCAGGGCAACUCCCCCAAGCUUGUGGCCACCUCGUGCGCUCUCCGGACUGCUUUUUAUUUUUCUAAUUUUCCAUAAAUUCCAAAACGAAGAAAAUUUCCUAUUGGAAAAGUUUCGGAUUCCAAUUACUUACCGAAACAGAUACCUCUUGGUUUUCAGUGUCUGAAACAGGCUGAUAAACAUCCCUUAUGUACUCCUCUGGAGUUAUGAUAUUGAUGAUAUUGGUCUCAACAUUUAUGGGAGUACCAAAGAUAUAAUGCUUGAUUCUUUGCCCGUUUACCACUCUAGGAAAAUUACCUUCCGUGUUAUUGAUUUUGAUGGCACCGGAACGAUAUAAUUCCUCGACAACGUAGGGACCUUCCCAUUUAGAGAGAAGCUUGCGUGCGAAGAAUCUUAAACGAGAAUUGUAUAGCAGGACAUAAUCACCUACAUUGAACUCUCGAUUUUGUAUUCUUUUGUCGUGCCAUCUCUUAACUUCCUUGAACAACUUGGCAUUCUCAUAUGCGUGGGCCCUCCAUUCAUCUAAUGAGCUGAUAUCAAACAACCGCUUCUCACCGGCAAGUUUGAAAUCAAAGUUGAGCUCUUUGAUUGCCCAAUAAGCUUUGUGUUCAAGCUCAAGAGGUAAAUGAGAGGCCUUACCGUAAACCAUUUUAUACGGUGACAUGCCCAUGGGAUUCUUAUAAGCAGUCCUAUAAGCCCAUAAUGCAUUGUCAAGUUUGCUAGACCAAUUCUUUCGAGAUCUAUUGACGGUCUUUUGCAAGAUCAAUUUGAUCUCUCUAUUACUCAACUCCACUUGACCACUAGACUGAGGGUGAUAAGGGGAUGCAACUCUAUGGUUGACAUCAUACUUAGCGAGCAUCUUGCGGAAAACACCAUGAAUGAAGUGUGAACCGCCAUCAGCCAUCAGAUAUCUAGGGACUCCAAAUCUUGGGAAGAUGACUUCUUUAAGCAUCUUAAUAGAGGUGUGGUGAUCAGCAUUUUUAGUGGGGAUAGCCUCUACCCACUUAGUUACAUAAUCCACAGCAACUAAGAUGUGAGUAUACCCAUUGGAACUCGGGAAAGGUCCCAUAUAAUCAAAGCCCCACACAUCAAAUGGUUCAAUGACAAGUGAAUAGUUCAUAGGCAUUUCCUGAUGCUUACUGAUAUUCCCUAUUCUUUGGCAUUCGUCACAAGAUAAGACAAACUUACGGGCAUCCUUGAAGAGAGUGGGCCAGUAGAAACCUGAUUGCAAUACCUUAUGAGCAGUUCUGUCUCCAGCAUGGUGUCCUCCGUAGGCCUUGGAAUGACACUUCUGCAGGAUUUGCCCCUGUUCGUGUUCAGGCACACAACGUCUAAUAACACCAUCUACUCCUUCCUUAUAAAGGUGAGGAUCAUCCCAAAAGUAGUGUCUCAAAUCAAAGAAGAAUUUCUUCUUUUGCUGGUAGGUGAAACCGGGUGGUAUGUAUUUGGCUACGAUAUAGUUUGCGUAAUCAGCAUACCACGGUGCACUAUGUGAAGUGCGGAUGACAUUCAAUUGCUCAUCAGGAAAGCUGUCAUCAAUAGGUCAUGGGUCAUCAAGGACAUUCUCUGGCCUAGACAAGUUAUCUGCUACAGGGUAAUCAGCACCCUUUCGGUCAACAACAUGCAAAUCAAAUUCCUGUAGCAGAAGAACCCAUCUGAUUAGUAUAGGCUUAGCGUCCUUCUUCUCCAUAAGGUACUUAAUAGCAGCAUGAUCAGAGUGAAUAGUGACUUUGGAGUGAACUAUAUAAGAUCUGAACUUUUCACAUGCAAACACGACUGCUAAAAAUUCCUUCUCUGUAGUGGCAUAGUUUCUUUGGGCACUGUCUAGAGUUUUACUAGCGUAGUGAAUGACAUUCAACUUCUUGCCAACUCUUUGUCCUAGAACAGCACCAACAGCAUAAUCACUAGCAUCGCACAUGAUUUCAAAGGGCAAGUUUCAAUCAGGUGGUUGAACAAUAGGUGCGGUUAUCAAGGCCUUCUUAAGUAUUUCAAAAGCUUCCUCACAAUCCUCAUCAAAAACAAAAGGAACAUCCUUCUACAAGAGGUUGGUAAGAGGCCUAGAAAUCUUAGAGAAGUCUUUAAAGAACCUUCUAUAGAAACCAGCAUGACCUAGGAAACUUCGUAUACCCCUGAUAUUUGUGGGGCAAGGCAUUUUCUCAAUUGCAUCUACCUUAGCCUUAUAAAUUUCAAUGCAUCUCUCGGAGAUUUUGUGUCCUAAGACGAUGCCUUCAUUAACCAUGAAGUGGCACUUCUCCCAGUUCAAGAUGAGGUUGGUAUCUUUGCACCUCUGUAAGACUCGAUCAAGGUUGUUGAGGCAAUCGUCAAAGGAAGAACCGUAGACAGAGAAAUCAUCCAUGAAAACCUCAACAAUAUUUUCACAGAAGUCAGAGAAUAUAGCCAUCAUACAUCUUUGAAAGGUGGCAGGUGCAUUGCACAAGCCAAAAGGCAUGCGUCUAUAAGCGAAGGUAUUGAAGGGGCAUGUGAAGGUGGUUUUCUCUUGAUCAGAUUGUGCAACAGGUAUUUGCGAGAAACCUGAAUAACCGUCUAGAAAGCAGAAGUGUGUGUGUUUAGAUAGCCUUUCUAGCAUCUGGUCGAUAAACGGCAAAGGAUAAUGGUCCUUCCUGGUUGCCUUGUCAGUUUCCGGAAGUCUAUCACCAUCCUAUAACCAGUAAUAAUCCUCUACGGGAUUAGUUCAUCCUGAUCAUUAGGGACAACGGUGAUACCUCCCUUCUUAGGUACGCAAUGUACUGGACUUACCCAAUCACUAUGAGCAACAGGAUAAAUGAUUCAUGCUUCCAGAAGCUUCAAUAUUUCUUUUCUCACGACCUCUUUCAUCCUCGGAUUUAGUCUCCGUUGAUGAUCAGCAACUGGCUUAGAAUCAGGAUCGGUUUUAAUCUUGUGCUGACAUAGAGUGGGGCUAAUACCCUUAAGAUCAUCAAGAGUAUAUCCAAUAGCAGCACGGUGCUUCCUCAAAGUUUUUAAUAACUUCUUCUCUUCGUGUCUCGAGAGGUGAGCACUAAUAAUAUCAGGAUAUAUCUCCUUCUCAUCAAGAUAGGCAUACUUAAGAGUAUCUGGUAACUGUUUUAGCUCGAACACAGGAUCACCCUUUGGUGGGGGAGGAUCCCCAAGCAAUUCAACAGGCAGAUUAUUCUUGAGAAUAGGAUAUUGUUCUAAGACAAUUUUAUCUAUCUCAUCUCUUUCCUCCAUAUGCAUAUCAUUUUCAUGCUCAAGUAGAUAUUGCUCUAAAGGAUCCAUAGGAGGUAUGACAAUAGAGGCGAGAGCAAUGAUUUCAUCCCUACCAGACGACUCUUUUUCAUGGGGUUGUCUUCCAAACUUGGAGAAGUUAAAUUCAUGAGACACACCCUCGAAACUAACAGUGACAGUCUGUUUAAUGCAAUCAAUGUGAGCAUUGACAGUGUUGAGAAAGGGUCUACCAAAUAUGAUGGGACAAAAGCUAUCUUGUGCAGUAGCAAGGACGAGGAAAUCAGUAGGAUACUUCAUCUUACCACACAAGACUUCUACGUCUCUCACAAUUCCCAGAGGGCAGAUAGUGUCUCUAUUAGCUAGCGUAAUAGUGACAUCAAUGGGUUCUAACUCAGCAGGUGCAAUCUCAUCUUUGAUUUCAUCAUAUAGGGAACAGGGUAUUGCACUAACACUAGCACCCAUAUCACAUAAACCAUGGUAACACUGAUCUCCUAUCUUGACAUAAACAACGGGAAGGCCAACUACACGUCUGUAUUUGUCUUUCGAGUGAGGUUUAGCUAUUCUAGCGGAGUCUCACAGAAUUUGAUAACAUGCCCAUCUAUGUCUUCGGCUAAGAAAUCUUUGAUAAUAGCAACACUAGGUUCAACUCUAAUUUCCUCAGGGGGUGCAAGUGGUCUAAUGUAACCCCUACGUAUCACAAUUGGUGCUUUAGAAUAAUCCUUUUUCCUAGCAGGGUAAGCAGGUUUCUCAGCGUAGGCACAAGGAACAAUAGGAUCACUAAAGGCAAUGACUUUCUCCUCAACUAGAUUGGGUUUAACUAUGUUGAUUUCUACAGGAGGAUGAUACUUCGACCACUUAUCUUUGGGAAGAUCAACAUGAGCAGCAAAAGAUUCACAUAGAGAAGCUACUAUCUCAGAGUCAAGUCCAUACUUAGCGCUAAAAUCUCUAGAAGUGUUUGUUUCAACAAAAGAUUUAACACAAUCAAACUGGAAAUUCAUACCUGACUCCUUACCUUCUUCAAGCUCCCAAUCCUCAGAAUUACGUUUGAUUCUUUCCAAUAAAUUCCACUUGUGAUCAAUAUCCUUCUUCAUAAAGAACCGGUACAAGAAGUGUCAAGCAUGGUACGAUCUUCAUGAGAAACCCGAGCAUAAAAGUUUUGAGUGAUAAUUUCUCUCGAGAGCUCAUGAUUGGGGCAUGAAUAUAGCAUUGAUUUAAGCCUCCCCCAAGCUUGAGCUAUGCUUUCCUGUCACGAGGCCAAAAGUUAUAAAUAUAAUUCCGAUCACGAUGUACUAAAUGCAUAGGAUAAAACUUUUGAUGAAAUUCCAAUUUCAACCGAUUGUAGUCUCAUGAUCCAGUAUCAUCACAUAGCCUAUAACAUGUCAACGCCUUAUCCUUCAAAGAUAAAGGAAAGACUUUCUUAUUUACCUCAUCCUCGGGCAAACCCGCAAGCUUAAAUAAACCACAAACUUCAUCUACAUAGAUCAGAUGCAAGUCUGGAUAUGAUGAUCCAUCUCCUGUAAAAGGAUUAGCCUGCAGUUUCUCAAGCAUACCCGAAGGAAUUUCAUAAAAUAUAUUUUCAGUAGGUACCUCAGGUUGAGGAACAACUCCUCGUGCUUCCGUUCGUGGUGAAGAUACCCCGAACAAACUCCUCAAAGGAAUAGUUUCCAUAGUGACAAGUGACAAUAAAUUUCAGCACAGUAUAUAAAUGUUUCCUUACCAAAGGCGCUUCCUCCCCGGCAACGGCGCCAGAAAAGAGUCUUGAUGACCCACAAGUAUAGGGGAUCAAUCGUAGUCCUUUCGAUAAGUAAGAGUGUCGAACCCAACGAGGAGGAGAAGACUCUGAUAAACGGUUUUGAGCAAGGUAAUAACUGCAAGCACUGAAAGUAGCGGUAACAAGUGAUGGUGUAGUGAGGUGAAACGUAGCAAGCGAAAAGUAACAAGUAACAAGUAGUAGCAACAGUGCAGCAAGUGGCCCAAUCCCUUUUGUAGAAAGGGACAAGCCUGAACAAAGUCUUAUAAGAGGAAAAACGCUCCCGAGGACACACGGGAAUUUCUGUCAUGCUAGUUUCAUCAUGUUCAUAUGGUUCGCGUUCGUUACUUUGAUAGUUUGAUAUGUGGGUGGACCGGCGCUCGGGUACUGCCCUUACUUGGAAAAGCAUCCCACUUAUGAUUAACCCCUCUCGCAAGCAUACGCAACUACGAAAGAAUAAUUAAGACAACGUAUAACCAUAGCAUUAAACUAGUGGAUCCAAACCAGCCCCUUACGAAGCAACGCAUAGACUGGGGUUUAAGCUUCUGUCACUCCAGCAACCCAUCAUCUACUUACUACUCCCCAAUGCCUUCCUCUAGGCCCAAAUAUGGUGAAGUGCUAUGUAGUCGAUGUUCACAUAACACCACUAGAGGAAAAACAACUUACAGCAUAUCAAAAUACCGAACGAAUACCAAAUUCACAUGACUAUUAUUAGCAUGACUUAUCCCAUGUCCUCAGGGACAAAAGUAACUACUCACAAAGCAUAAUCAUAAUCAUGAUCAGAGGUGUAAUGAAUAGAAUCAAGGAUCUGAACAUAAACUCUUCCACCAAGUAAUCCAACUAGCAUCAACUACAAAGAGUAAUCAACACUACUAGCAACCUUACAAGUAUCAAUCGGAGUCGCGAGACGGAGAUUGGUUACAAGAGAUGAACUAGGGAUUGGAGAGGAGAUGGUGUUGAUGAAGAUGUUGAUGAAGAUGCCUCCCCUCCGACGAGAGGAGUGUUGGUGAUGACGAUGGCGACGAUUUCCCCCUCCGAGAGGGAUGUUUCCCCGGCAGGAUCGUCCUGCCGGAGCUCUAGAUUGGAUCUGCUCAAGUUUCGCCUCGUGGCGGCGGAGAAACCAUGAAAAAGCUCCACCUUGAUUUUUUCCGGAUGAAACCCUUCAUAUAGCAAAAGAGGGGGGCCAGUGGGCCGCCAGGGUGCCCACAAGCCCUGUUGCCGCGGCCAGGGGGUAGGCCGCGACAACCAGGCUUGUGGGCCCCUGGUUGCUCCCCUCUAACACUUCUUUCUCCCAGUAUUUUUUAUAAAAUCCAAAAUAAAUCCACGUUGAUUUUCAGGGCAUUUGGAGUUGCGCGGAAUAGAGCACUCAGACUUGUUCCUUUUCCAGUCCAGAAUUCCAGUUGUCGGUAUUCUCCCUCUUCAAAUAAACCUUGCAAACUAAGAGAGAAAAGGCAUAAGUAAGGUUCCACAAAGUGUAAUAACAGUCCAUAAAGCGAUAAAUAUCAACAUGAAAGCAUGAUGCAAAAUAGACGUAUCAGUGCCUUCUCUUCAACAUCAAGAGACCCAUUGAGAUUUCAAAUAGUAAACUCGUGUCUCCUGUGUUACAGAGAAGUAGCAAAAUUGUUCCAUGAAGGUGGAAGCUUGGUAAUGAUGCCUAUGGCCACAAACUUGUCAGACAACACACACUUGAAGUACUCAAGCUCCUUCGUGAGUGAUUGUAUCUCAUGAGCUUGUUGAACAACAGAAUGCUCCUCAGUCAUCUUGUAGUCAUAAAAUUGUUGCAUGACGUACAACUCGCUGCCAGCGUCCGAGGCCCCAAACUUGGCCUCGAGCACAACCCACAUGUCCUUGCCAUUCUCAAACGACAAGUAUGAAUCCACAAUGGAAUCGUCAAGAACACUCAGAAGGGCGCCCUUGAAGAGGGUAUCGAUCUUCUCAAAAGCUUCCUCUGUGCGGGAUUACGAUCUCCGUGAGGCUUGCCCUUGGAGGCAUCAUAGCACUACAUGGUUUGAAACCAAUAGACUGCUCUCAUGCAUCACCACUUAUAUUGGACCCCCUUGAAGGUGGGCGGCUUCACAUGUGCAGCAAAACCACUUGGAGUAAAUUGCCCAUAAUCAGGUUUUUGGAUUGUUGAAUAUAUGAGUAAAUAACCAUGAGAUUUAAUCCAAAUAAGCAUUAAAUAAAUCAUGAUGAUAGAAAUGGAGAUUAAACUAAUCAUGCGGACUACCAUAGUAGACGAAUAGAUCAAAUCUAUAGCAGAGACUAGAAAGAAGAAUUCUAGGAUUAUCUCAAACACAGAGGACAGAGUUGCAUAAGAUGCAAUGGGAGCCGAACCGCUGGUGUUGAUGUUGUCGCCCACAUCAUUGAUGAAGAGGUUUCUGAGAUUGGAGAAGAAAUUGUCGUUGAGGAAAUCGUUGCUGCGAGCAGUUGCGUGAGUGCGCUCCCCAAAAACCUGAUCGCCCCUAUCCCCUACAAGAUCAUGAGAGGCGGGGUUCUGGAGGCUUGCUGUCCGUUCUUGCGGUGCACGUCGGAAGGAGGGAUGGACAAGACUUGGAUGGCGGCGCAAUGAUAUAGAACGGUGCGAAACCAUAUGUUGUGACUGCAACUAGGUUUUGGAGGGACCUCACGUAUAUAUAUGUGUGAUAGGGUGGAGAAACGUGGACUGGACCCACGUCCGAGUCGGUUACACCCCACCACGAUGAGAGGUGGUGGAGGGGUAUAUAUAGGCAUCUCCAAAAAUCUAAUUGUUACAACAUUAUUUCCCAACUCGGUGAAACCGAAGUGAAACUCGGUGGCACCGACUAGUGCAAAAUGUGGCAACUUUUUUCUUUUUGUUGAGACCAAUAUAUGAAUCUCCGAGGUACCGAUUUUGGAUGGCCUAGUCAGUUUCCACAACUGGGUGAGACUGGUUCUCAAAACUCGGAAAUUCCGAUUUUAAGAAGUUGGUUACCCAAGCCGGGGGCACUCAUUUUGGUUGCACCAAAACGGCACUUGGUGUCACCGAGAUGCUAGGAUUUGGCAUGGGAUGUGUCUGGGGUAAAACUCAAUAUGGCCGAAUGGAAAAAAGUUGGUGGUACUGAAUUUUGGACUUUGUGGAUUUUGACAGAAUAUUUGUGGGGGAAUUUCGUGAGUAUUUCUGGUGGCUAUCUCUAAGCACUUGAGCAACCAAAUCACCAUAAUCACCUCAUCCCUUUCAAUAGUAUUGGCUUUCCUAUGGACUCGAGUGCGGUUUCUCACAAAACAUAAAAUGUAGAGUCUUAAAGCUUGUUGCCAAUAGAUGUUCCUUACCUCUAGGGGUACUCCUCACAAUCCUUAGCCAAUGCAGCAUUGAACUUCUCCUGAAAUAUACUAGAUGGAAUCAUUAGAUCAAUGACGCAUAUGUUGUUAUUAAUUACCAAAACCAGCUUAGGAAGAAGUUUGUGCUUUCAGGUUGCUCUCGAAGAAAUCAACAGAAAGAAGAGAAGAUGGUGCGAGGCGACUGUCGCAACAUAGAGACACAUGAGGUCGGCGGCAACAGGUACACCGGGUGCGUGUGUGGCUUUUUUCUAUUAUUGCUACGAGUAGGAAGAAGGCUACCUACAUGAUGUUGUAACCGCCGACUCGGCUUGUUACAAGUGAAGACCAGUGCGACCGGUGUCACGGCAUGCUGGAACCUACGUGUCGACUUGCUGUAACCGAUGCUGCCGCGUGCUUGAACUGACAUCUCAACAUGUUGGAUGGCUGGAACUAGCAAUUCGGCGUGUUGGAAACACCACGUGCUUGACAAACCAUUAUCGAUGAUGAGACGAGACAUCACCAAUGCUAUGGACCGCAUCCUCCAAUGUUGUGACUGGUCAUCGCCGUUGCUAUAAUCUGCACAAGGCAAUGCUACAACCGGCGAUCAGCAAGCAACAACCGACAAUAGGCCACAUAGUUGCAAACUGCGGGCCGGCGAUGCUGGAACUGGCAUGGCAAUGAGCUAGAACAAGUGAGCCGAGUGCUGUUGCAGACCCUCCAUGGAGCUAGAAUCGUGUGCCGGCGAAGCUGAGAGGAGCUGCGAGAUGCUGCGUUCGAGAUGCACUGUUACGAGCAACAAGUUGCAAGGUCGGGUGUUGCGAGCAUUGGGAAACUUGUCACGACUAGACAUCAAGUUGUGAUGGGAACGACACAUAAGAGCUUUGCUGCAACUCUCUCUCUCUCUCUCUCCCUCCCUCCCUCCCUCACUCACUUACUCCCUCUCUCUUUAAGGUGCUCUGGGCAAAAUUAACAAAAAGUAGAGAAUAUGGUGCAGGCGGUUGCCGCAAGGUAGAGCCACACCGGGACAACGAUGGUGGCUCGGACACGAGGUUGUGCCUUUUUUGCUAUUGUUGCUGCGAGUAGGGAGAAGGCUACAUACAUGAUGUUGUAACCAUUGACUCGGCUUGUUGUGAGUGACGUCUAGUGGAACCGGUGUCACGACAUGCUAGAACCAACAUGCCAGCUUGAUGCAACCGGUGUCGCUGCAUGCUUGAACCGGUAUCUUGUCAUGUUAGAAGGCUAGAGCUAGCACCUCGGCGUGCUGGAAACACCGCGUGCUUGACAUGAACAUUGUCGAUGAUGGGAUGAGACAUCGCCAGUGCUAUGAACCGCAUCCUCCGGUGUUGUGACCGGUCAUCACCGUUUCUAUAACUGAUACAGGGCGAUGCUACGAUCGACGGCCAGCAAGCAACAACCAAUAAUAUGACAUAUAGUUGCAACUGCGGGCCGACGAUGCUGGAACUGGCAUGACAAUGAGCUGGAACCAGUGAGCCAACUUGCUGCAACAGACCAUAGACACGUACCGACCCUCCAUAGAGCUGGAAUUGUGCGCCAGCGGAUCUGAGAGGAGCUACAAGAUGCUAUGCUCAGGCUGCACUGUUACGAGCAAAAAACUGCAAGGUCGGGUGCUACAAACUUUGGGAAGCUUUGCCGCGACUAGACAUCGAGCUAUGUUGGGAACAACACAUAAGAGUGCUAGAAUCGAUGCUCCGAUUUGUUCGGACCAGCUCCGCGACAUACUGGGAACGAAGGUAACCAAUGCUGGGACCGGAGGUAGAUGGAGCCACGAGGGAUGCGAACGAUGAUGACGAGGAAUGCGAGAGAUGAUGAUGGGGCCUCGCGAGUCGACGGGCGAUGCUCAUUGCCGUCGACUCGAUCCGCACAAUUUUUCACAAGUCAUGGGCAAAAAGAAACAAUGACAGUCAUACCAUCCAAAGCCUCUUGUAACCGGCGACACAUGGAGCUAGGUGCGGCACCAUGGUGUGCUCGAACUCACGUGUCGGCUUGUUCGACCGGCGUCGUGACGUGGGGUGAUCGGUGUGAUGCAUGUUAGAACAAAUGUGAUGACUUGUUGUAACCAUCACCGUUGCAUGUUGGAACCAGCAUCUCGGCAUGCUGGAAGAAUGAAACUGGUGCUUCAACAUGCUGGAACCACCACCAGAGUGUGUUGGACCAGACCAAUAUCGAUGUUAGGACUAGAUGUCGUCGAUGCUAUGGACCACGACCUCUGGUGCUGGCACUGGUCAUCAUCAUUGCUACAACUGUCAUAGGGCGAUGCUACAACCAGCGACCAAUGAGCUACAACCAAGAGGGUGUCGUAGAGCUGCAACUGUAGGUUGGCGGCGUUGGAACCAUCAUGGCGAUGAGAUGGAACCGAUGAGCUGAGUUUCUGCAAUGGACCAUAGAUGCGUAGGACAGGGCGCUACAAUUUGUGCGCCAUGAAGUUGGAAUCGUGCACCGACGAACCUGAGAGGAGCCACGGGUUCCUGCCGAGGACGUCGUGUGCUACGAGCGACAAACUGCAAGGUCGGGGUGUUGUGAACGUCGACAAGUCAAGCUUAACAUCGAGCUUUGCGGGGAAUGACUCCUAAGAGUGCUAGCAGUGACGCCCAUGUUUGCGAGAACCAACGCCCCAUUAUGCUAGGGACGAAGGCAGUUCGACCCGCAAGGGAUACGAACGGUGAUGGCGAGGGAUGCAAACAAUGAUGAUGAGGCCUCGUCCAUCCAUGAGGGAGGGGUGGGGUGUGAUGCUCUGUUGCUCACUCGAUCCGCGUAGUUUGUUGCGAGUCAUGCAAAGAGGAAUGACGACACGGAUGCGUGAUCUAACGGCCAAGAUUCUAUCUCGCACAAUCUCAAAACCCGAACAAUAGUGUCCCAAAGUUCACGACUUUAAGAAAAAGUUUGUGGGAUUCAAAUAAAGUUCAUGAACUCAAAAAAGUUUACGGGUUCAAUAAAAAUCACGUAUUUGAAAAGCAGUUCACGAAUUCAUUAAAAGUUCGUGCAUUUCCAAAAAAAUAUCAUGAAUUUGAAAAGUGUUCAUGACUUCAAAAAAUUGCAAAAAAACAAAAUUCACCAAUUUCAGAAAAGAGUUCACAUAUUCAGUAAAGUUUCAACAACUCAAAAAAUAUUAUGAAACUCAAAACGUACGUGUAUUAAAAUAUAGCGUGCAAAUUCGAAAAAAUUCAUGAACUUGAUUUUUUAAUGAAUUUCAAAGAAAGUCCAUGAAUUUGGAAUAGUUCAUGAAUUUAGAAAAGGUUUGCGAAUUUGAAAAAUAUUUGUGAUAUAAGAAAAAGAAUAAAAAAGUAGAACAAAAAUAGCAGAAAAGGAACCAACAUGGGCAAGCAUGUAGAAACUUCCUAAUAUCAAAAAAGCAAACCGCGCUGGUGAUAAUCUGGCGCACCACAGAAGGCGUUUCCUAUUUGGCGCUACAGACGCCCGUUAAAGUACAUUUUUGCAAACGGGCGCGUGUAGCGCUUGCGCACUGGGCCGGCCCAUCAUCGGACUUUUCCAAGCUGAAACCAUCACGCCGAGACAACUGAUACGCUUUUUAUUAUCUUUUCCGCUUUUUCUUAUACUUCCUACAUUUGACUUUUUUUCUUACUUCCCCUUUUAUUUUUUUACGUUUCUGUUUUUUCUCUUUCCUUUUUUCCAUCUUCUUUCACGUAUGUUUAUUUUGUUUCAAAUUCAAGAAUUUUUAUAUUUAAGAUUGAUGUUUUUUUUCAAAUUUAAUGUACUUUUUUCAAAUUUGAUGAAUUGUUUUCUUAAUUUUUGAUGAUUUUUUUUCAAACUUGAUGAACUAUUUUCAAAUUGCAUGAAAUUUUUGAAAAUCGUUUUUUUCAGUUUCUUGAACAUUCUUCAAGUUUGAUGAACUUUUUUCAAAAUCGAUGAACUAUUUUCAGAUCCGAAGAACUUUUUCAAAAUUGUUGAACAUUAUUAAAAUUUGAUGAACCUUUUCUCAAAUCUAAUGAAAUUUUUUAAAUGCAUUGAUUGUCCUUUCCAAAAUACAUGAGCAUUUUCAAAUUCAACGAACUUUUUUUCAAAUUUUGUGAAUUUGUUUCAAACUUGAUGAACUAUUUUCAAGUUGGAUAAAAAAAAUUAAAUCAGUUUUUAUUUAUUCCGUUGAAUAUUUUUCAGGUUUGAUGAACUUUUUUGAAAUUUGAUGAACUUUUUUUCAAAUUUGAUGAACUAUUUUAAGAUCCGAUAAACUUUUUUAAAAUCCAUUAACUUUUCAAAAAAAUUCCAUCAAUUUAAAAUUUGUGAACUUUUCUUGAAAUCGGUGAACUUUUUAAAAAAACGGUGAACAUAUUUUAAAAUUUGUGAAAUCGAUGAAUUUUUUUCAAAAUCAAUGAACUGUUUUUGUUCAAAUUUGAUGAACUUUUUUGUUUUCAAUUAUUUAAAAAAAGCUGACGAACGUUUUUUCAAAUUUGGUGAACUUUUUUCGAAAUUGAUAAUCUGUUUUCAAAUUUGAUAAUUUUUGCUAAAAUUUAUGAAGUUUUUUAUAUUUUAUGUUUUUUGACUAAUUUUUUCAUUGUUUUGAAGUUUGUGAAUGCUUUUUUAAAGUACAUGAAUAUUUCAAGAAUUUUUUCUUUUUUUAUCCUGUAGUUGACUAGUAAAAGUUUAAUGUAAAUGUUCACACCUUCCCAAGGGGUUGAGUGGUCCUUGGAACGUAGCAGUUCAAAUGAGGUUGUAGGUUCGAUUCCUAUUUUCGUCGGAAUUUUUGCUUUAAUUUCCUGUUGAUUAAUCCCUCAUAUUGGGCCAGCCCAACAGCGUCGCUGCAUGGGCGCCGCAACUCCUGUAGUUGGCGUUGAAGGCGCUGACUAGGAGCUCCCCCACACAGAAAAGCUUGGGGCUUGUCUCGAUGCAAAGAAAGAAAAGAUUAAUUGGCUAAGCCCAGAAUCGAGUGGGUGUGCGCCCCUUUGCCGGUUAUCCUAUAACUAGCGUUAAGGGCAUUGAAUAGGAUUUGAGUAACUAGUUAGCAAGCGCUUCCUCGUAAGCCUCCCAACGAUCGCACCUGCACGUUGCCAUUUGGCGUGUUCCUAACCGCUGCCACAUGUCGCAUUUUGAGCGUUUUCUUCGGAUUUUAUUUUAUUUUUCGCACGAGUUCUCGCCUUUUUGAGUGAUUUUUCCCGGAUUUUUUUGCAGUUUCGGUUUUUCGCCGGUCUUUCGUAACUUUUGGACGGGAAAAAUAAAAUCAAAUUUUCUUUCGCGAAAAAACUCAUUUUUUUGAAGAAAAAAAUUUGCGAGAGGAACGGUUCUGCUUCCGCGAGAGACAACGGUUUUGCCUUCGCAAGAGGCACGGUCGUGCCUCUUGGAAAGAAAAAAACGUGUUUUUUGUAUUUUUUUGCGAGUGACACGGUUUUGCUUUCGUGAAAAGCAUGGUUUUGCUUUGCGAGAGGCACGCCUGUGCCUUUCGGGAAAGGAAAAAACACGUUUUCUGUUUUUAUUUGCAAAAGCCACGGUUUUGCCUUCGCGAGAGGCACGUCGUGCCUUUCGGAAAGGAAACAAAAUGUGUUUUCUAUUUUUUUGCGAGGGACACGGUUUUGCUUCUGCGAAAGGCACGGUUUUUGCCUUUGCAAGAGGCAUGCCCGUGCCUCUCUCGAAAGGGAGAAAAACGCGUUUUCUAUUUUUUUUUUACGAGAGGCACGGUUUUGCUUCCAUGAAAGGCACGGUUUUGCCUUCGCGAGAGGCACACCCAUGCCUCUCCCCGAAAGUUAAAAACGUGUUUUCUGCUCUCCUUUUUUCGCUAGAGGCGUGGUUUUUUUGUUCGGUUUUUUUCUUACGGUUUUUUUUUUUGAAAAAAAAAGUUCGUCAAAAUCUAUCAACAUGGAAUCUAGUUUUGAAGAUCUGGACACGAGAAAGCCAACGGUGAAAACGGUACGAGAUUUGGACGCACGAUUUAGGACAUAAAACGUUUUGAAAAUACAGAUCUACGAAAAAAGGAAAAACUCAGUUGCGACAAGUGACACGCAUACAGUGCGCCACUUAUCGCAACCUAUGGAGGUGAGAGCAAUCAUUAGAAGGUAUACUCGCUAACUAGUGAUUUCGGUUAUUGCGGCCUAUAACUAUAGCUGCGGACGGUCUUUUACAUGUAGUUUGUAUUAAUUAUGUUUAUUAGUAUCUGUUUUCUUUGAUUUUUUCUAUGCUUUUCCUUAUUUUCUUAUAUUUUUAGUUUUCUUUUGUUUCUUUCUUUGUUUUUCAUCUAUUAUCUUUAUUUUUUUAAUAAAUGUCUAUUUUCAACAAAUACGUUGUAUAUUUUCUUUGUAUAUACGCCAGGAAUGUCUCCUAUACACUUUAUAAAAUAAAAUAAAAUGAUUAGUAUUUUCUAGAUAUAUAUUUUGAUGUCUGUUUUUCAAACAGGUUUCUAAAUUUAUUGUAUAGACCUAAUUUUUAUAAUAUACAUUUAAGAUUUUCCAAAUACAUGAUUCAUAUUUUUGAAAUAUAUGUUUUGAUCUUUUUUGAAUGCAUGUUAUACUAAAAAUUAAUAGGAAUAAUAUGAAACAUUUGUUUUAACUAUGCAAACAUUUUUCCAUUGCAUAAAGUUUUUUCCAUAAAUGUGUGAACAAUGUAUUUAUUGUUACUUACAAAAGUAAGUUUUUCGUAUCAAUUUGUCUGAAUUACAUGAACACAUUUUUUAACAUUGCAUAAUAUUUUUUAACUGGUACAUAUAUAAACACCCGAACAUUUUGUAAAUGUCACAUAUAAUUUUUAAUAGUACAAACAUUUUUAAAAGUGAUGGAACACGUUUUUGACACUGCAUGAACAAUUUAUAAAUGUGUGAAAAUAUAUAUGAAUCUAUUUAACACUGUAUGAACCUAGGACAACCGUUUGGGGCACCUAGGCACCUUGCCUAGAUGCCGUUCGUUUGCAUCGUGAUUUUGUUCUGAUGAUGGAUAUAUGAGCUAUUGGAUUUUAUCUAUUAACAAAGAAAAAAAAACUUUCUAUACUUGUUUGCAUGGCUCUGAUGUGUGUUAGUUGUCUCAAAAAAUUACCUUUCAUAUAUGUUUGCAUAGCCUGCAUUCUAUGAAAACAGCAAAAUCUGGUCAUUUAAUGUGCGUCAUCAAUUGUCCAUUCGUCACAUCAAGUAAUAAAGAGCUUCCAAACUAUUGCUUUGUAAAAUAUAGUAAGAAAUGUGUAGCAUUGCGUACGUAGAGAUUUUUUAACCGAAAAUUGCUUUUGGCUCCCGAGCUCCAUGGAGCCCUUUAAAUUUGAAACUCUAAUUUCAUGAAAAUUCAUAUUUUUACAUUCCAAAAAAUUCUGAAAAAAAAUACAGGGAUAAGUGAAGGGGUAACACGCAUGUGUGUAAAUUUUCAGAAAAAAAUACAUUGAAAUGAGGGCUGUGCAAAAAAGACAAAUCUGAGUCUUUUUUACACAUGACACUAUUCAUCAUUUCAGGUCAUGAAUUUGUCUUUUUUGUGCAGAUCAUAUUUCAAGGUAUUUCAUCCUAAAUUUUUGCACACAUACGCAUAACAUCCUUCUUUACUUCCAUAUUUUUUUCAGAUUUUUUUGAAACCAAAAAGUUUGAAUUUUGAAUUAUUCGAAAAUUUCGGCCUCCAUGGAGGCCGAGCUCCAAACGUCUGCACUCUUUUUUAACUGAGUAUAUACUCAUAAGAUUGUUGUCUUGACUUUUCUCUACAACUAUAUACCUCAGCAAAAAAUAUACGAGUACAUACCUCAAUAAACCAUAGGUAUUGUACCUAAUUGUUUUUAUAUAUUUCCCUACAUCUACAUACCCUGGCAUGAAAUAUAUGAAUAUAUACCCCAAUAAUAUGUAUGUAUUAUACCUAAUUGUUUUUUAGGUACAUAGUUUAAAAAUAAGUUGGUAUGCGAGAUUGAAAUACAUGUGUAAAUUCCCCAAUAUUACCCUAUAGCUACAUACCUAUUCUCCACAACUACAUACCCAAGCAAAAAACGUAUGACUACAUACCUCAAUAAUACAUAGGUAUUAUACAUAUUUUUUCUUGCAUAUUUUACUAUAGCUACAUACCCCGACGUGAGAUAUAUGAGUAUACACCAAUAAUAUGUAGGUAUAUAUAUACCUAAUUAUUUUUAGAUGUACAUAGUCACAAAUAAGUGGGUAUGAUACCCAAUUGUUUUAUGGAUAUACGUCCACGUAAAUGUGUGGGCACCAUACAUAUUCUUUUUUGGUAUAUAGUCAGAAAUAUGUGAUAUAUAACUUUUAUGUGGAAAGGUAUGAGAGGGAAAAGCAAUAAAAGGAAAUGCUUGAUGUUGUUUCAUAGAUGGAAUGUCUUGCAUACAAAUAGAUUAGGAAAGAAACCAAAAAAUGUAGUAACGGGUUGGCCCCGACCUAGGUGCCCCAAACAUUUUACAUAUAUAUAGCAUUUUUCAACAUAUAAAAAAGGGUUAAAAAACACGCCCAUGACUUUAGCGUGAUGAAAUCACAGUUUUUCUUUCUUUUAUUUUCCUGUUUUUCUACACCAGUUUUUUUCGUUUUCUAUCGUUCUUUUUUUAUUUCUAUUUGUUUCUAUUUAUUUAUUUUUCUAUGUAAAAAUUUAUGAACGUCGUUUGAAAUUUAGGAUCGUUUUUGUACACAAUCAUUCUUUUAUUUACAUACAAGUUCAUUAUUUUGUUUCCCGAAUCCAUGAAAUUUUAACAAAAUGGGAACAUUUUUUAGUUUGUGAUUUUUUUCCCAGUUCAAGGUUUGCAAGUGAACAUCUUGAAAAGAUCCCGAGAGUCCCUCAGGCCCUCACACACACAUAGUUGGUUUUUUACGAUGGCGACGGGCGGUGGUCAGAGGUUUACACCGCUUGCGUCAUGGGUAGUGAGGGGGGUGUGGCGUUGCAGCAAUGCAUGAUGGGUGCCCAGGCACAUCGGCAACCAAUGAGAACUCGAGAGAGGGAUAGAUGGGAAGGAACGGGCAAGCUCAGGUGAAGACGUCCAUGGCAUUCAUGACAAAAUUAGAGAAAGAGAGGGGAAGGGGUGGAGGGAGGGAGAGGGAGAAAUGAAGGGAGAGAGAGAAAUAGAGAGAUGCAGAGGGAAAAAGGAAGGAGAUGAGAGGGUGAGGCUGCACGAAAGAGAUAAGGAUACAGGACACUAGCACAUGCGACAUGCGCAAUGCCAGUGGUGUCAGACAUGGGCAGAAAGGGGAUUCUCAAUCGCGACAAUCACACAAGUUGCAAGUGCCCGACAGGUCUUUCGACCGUUAUCUUUUGCCCUAAAAAUAGUGGAUCGUUUGUAACUGUGAAAUGUAAAGGAAAACAUCAAAAGUGUCCAUCUGCUCGCGAGCUCAUAUUUCACCCUCAUAAACAAUAAAAUAAGUAAAUAAUCAUAAUUUUUUGGGGGCAUACGCAUUGACGAAUCUGCAACACGCGCACAAACGUUAAAUGAAGAAACAAUAUUCCAAAACUCAUGCUUAACUUGAAGCAUCGUUGUUUUUACGAAAGCAUGUUAUAAUAUUAUUUGUCUGAAGCGUUGAUUUUAUUUUCUAGGAAGCAUUUUGGAAUAUUAUUUCUUUGAACCUUUGCAUGCAUGUUGUGAAUUUGAAUGUUUGUGCUAAAAAAGUUCAGUUUUUUUUUACUUUUUAUUUUAUUUUACUGUUCAUUGAAGAGCAUAUGUACUCCUGAGCAGAAACUUCGUGUCAGGAAAACAAUAUCCACCUCGUAUAAAGUAGGUACAAUGUACCGUGAGCCUCUUAUUGAGCGUUGUUGGUGGGCCUGGAUGUAUUUCUGUUUUGAAGGCAUGCCUCUUGUGCUUCUUCUUGGAGGUGUGCUAGAGACGUCCGGUAGCGCACUCUUGUGUUUUUUUUAAUACGUUCGGCAUGUUUUGUCUUAUUUUUCUUAUGAUUAAUGUAUAUGGAUUUUAAUAAUACCUUGUGUCAUAGAAUAUGUGACGUUUAUUUUUGACAUUCGGAACUGGAAAAACUAGCAUUCCAAAUUAUCUCGGGCCGACCAAAUCGACGGUUACCACAUCGAUUACAAUGACUAGAGGUUUGACAGCCACACAUGUUGGACGCCAUGGUCACCACGCUACUUAUGUGGCUUCAUUAAUAUAAGAGUUGACUUGUGCUUCGGUAGACCCUUCUUUACAAAAUGUAGAAGGGAAAACAUAUAUCCACGUUGUAUUAUACACUACAUGUUAUUGUAUGGAUAUCCAUCUCGUAUUAUACACUACAGUCCGUCAUCAUACCCUUUUUAUGAAAAGGUAUCAUGCAAUCUCAGCCAUUUUUUUAGUUUUGUUGGGGGGAGGGGGAAAAAGUGUCUACGGAAGCAAAAGUGUUAAUAUAAAGCAAGGCGUAUGCUAUUUUAUGGGAGAAAAUCGGUACAACGUGGCUAUCAGUCAAAUGCAACUGUGCAUUACAUCUGACACGUACGAACGAAAGAAUAGUAAUGCGGACGUGCCAGGGGAGCGAGGUUAAGUUUGCUCCUUCGAGAAGCAUUUUUCUUAUAUCAAACUUUCAUGUUUUCUCAUUUCUCAGUGAUCUUUAAAUGCAAAAUAAAAUUAUAUCGCAGUAUUUAGCUAUGAGUGCAACUGUGAGUGUUGGGCACCAUCCAAAACAAGACAAAUCAGAAGAAAGAGAGAAGACAAAAAAAAAAGCCAAACAAUACAAGAGAAGGACAAACAGAAACCACGGAAAAAAAGAAACAGAAACCACGAGGAGCUAGUCGAGCUUGCACCGUCAGGAAAAAACAAGUAAAUAAAAAGAAACAAGUGAAAUAAGCAAAACAAAGACAACCAGAGAUGGAAUGAGAAAAAAAUGCCUGAUUUGUAAUUAAAAAAUAAAUCUGCAGUAAAAAAUUGUAAUAAAUUUGACUGUAUCGGAAAUUCAAUUUGGCUCAUAGGUCUAUAUUCAACCAUUGUCUAGAUACACAUUUCAAAAUGUUGAAAAAACUCGAGAAAAUACCCCGCGUGUAAAUCGGACAUUAUAUAUGCGUGCACCAAGUUUUAACGAAAAAGGACAUUUUUUGUGGCUUGUGUAAAAAAGGCAAUUUUUUAUGCUUGACUGCAGCUAUUCACGAGGCAUAUUUUUAUCUUUUUAUACGGGUCACAAUUUUUUUCCUUUUUCAUCGAAUUUUUGUGUACAAGCAUAGAAUGUCGGGAUGUACACUCGGGUUUUUUUUUUAAUUUUUUGAACAUUUUGAGAUGUGUUUUCCAUAUGUAUUUCAUAAUAGGUCUAUAUACACCUAGGAGCCAAAACGCCACUCUCUGACUGUAUGCAUUAGGCUGGGUAAAUCAAACGCUCCAUUAUCCAAACAAGUUAAAACUACAAUGUCUGGUAUUUUCUUCUGGAGCUACAGCCUACAGUACGAACAUUAAGAUUUCAAACUAAUAGUAUAUGUGUUUCCAAGCUUGGGUGCCAAAGGAUAUGUUCUCAGCUCAACAUGAAAUUCAGAGACAGCCAGGGAGCAAAGUCAGCUCAACAUGAAAUUCAGAGACAGCCAGGGAGCAAAGUCAAAAUGACUUUGCCUAUAUCUCCACGCAUGGAGCAGUAGAUAACUACGAGUAGAUAAGGUUGAUCUGUAAAUAAUACUCGGUUGUUAUCCAAGUCGGUUGUUAUCCAGUAGGUUAGUUUUGCAAAACGGACCUUGCCUCCCUUGUAAACAUAAUCAUGUAAUACUGUACGAGACAAACUAACCUUGCUAGCAGAGAGAAAGAUUUCCUCUCCUCACUCUGGUCUCUUCAUGUACCGUGCGAAAACUACCAACUACUCAGAACUCCUGACACAAAUUUGAUAGGUCACUGGACCUCCAGUCGAGCAAUCCAGUCAGUUCACCGUCAAAAUCUACGGAAGCAAGCAGUAUCUCAUGGACGGCGACCAAACAAGGCAGGACCGCAGGAGCAAGCGGCUUGACCAAGCAGUGAAGCAGAUGUGCAUCAAAUGCCCAAGCUUACAAGCAGAUUCAGAAUAGUUGCUACCGGCAAGCCUCUGAUGGUAAUCCAUCAUCUAUAUAUGUUAUUUUCUUUUCAAAAGAGGAAGCUUCAGCGCUGUCCGGCCUCUGAACAAUCCGUCAUCUCAUGCAUCCACAGCCUAGCUAAUUCGCCUUCAGACUGCAAACUUACAAAUUCUACCUGGGCUUGAUUUUAUGAUUUCAGACUCUUAAGUUCUGGGGGACAGUCUGGAAAUAGUACUCACCACAUCAAAUUGCUCUAUGCAAAAUCAAAUGCAAAUUUUAUGGAUGCGAAAAGGAAAGGUCAUGUUCAGUACUGGUAGUCAUUUCAUUCAUCAAGACCUCGUGUGGUAAAGUGACGAACAGUAAAGGACGGGAUGACUAGAGCAGCAGUUUCUGUUUCAAUAAGUGCACGGAAAUGAUUGGGUGCUGUGCAGUGCAUGACAAUAUCAGGAAAUAAAGGCGCCAUGAACAAGACAGUAAUCAGCAUCAGUUUUCCUAGUGAGCUUUAGAAGUUAUAUAACCUGGUAACUGACCCCUGCAGAAGGUACUGCUGAUUUACAAAAAGAAAAGAAAAAACAGAAGUUGGUAACUAUCGGUUUGCAAAUUAGGAAUCUACACACACAGCAAAAGUCUUGUUUUUUAUAUGCAUAUAUAGGGUUAAAAAGUUGAAGUUAUUUUCCUAUACAAGCAGAGUGUUACAGCACAAUUCAGAAAAAUAAAUAUUGGUUUCUCACCAGAAAAGGGUUGUAAAAUUAUGGUCCGAUUCGGGGUUCAGAGUAAAAAGCAAUCAUAUACCAGUUACCAAUGAAUGCCAACUGAAAGCAACACCUAUUGUGCCUAAAGCAAGUUUAGAAACAGCUGAUAUAACACUUCACAUUUCUACAGUAAAUAAUAACACAUCACAAGGCCACAUGCUAUACAGUAUACACAAUGUGCAAGUUAUAUCAUGAGUUUUGGGGAAAAGCAGAUAGCUGUUUCGCAGUUUCAGUCACAUACACACAAUUUGCAGGUCAUCUCAUGAGUUUUGAAAGAAACUAGAUUUUUGUUUCAGUCAAAUGACUUCAGCUGAGCUCAUUUCUACAAUAAGCAAGCACACAACACCACAUGCCAUAUAGUAUGCACAAUGUGCAAGUCUUAUGAUCAGUUCUGGGGAGAACCAGAUUAUUAUUUCAAACAGUGACUGUUAUUGAGCAUUUAUUCAGUGUCAUACAUAAGGGAUCAUCAACCAAAACACUGAAGUCAGCCAGUUCAUUAAUAUUAUCUACUUCUGAGCCAAUACUAGAAUCUAGAUACCAACUGGACUACUUUUAUUGAGGACCCCGCAGAAGGAUGAACAUAUGAUAUAGUAGGAAAAUGCACGAAUGGUUCAGUUAAAUAGCUCAGUUAACUCAUUCAACUUCAAAGAAAAUAAACUUACACUUUAGGCAUUUAGUAUUGCUCCUGUGCCCUUAUUCUUUAUAAUUUGUUUAUCUUCAGCUAUCUUUCAAGAUAUUACUAAUAUAACUCUCUAUACCAAAUUAAAGUAACAUGUAGAAUUAAAUUACAUGAAUACUUCAGUUCAACUGUUCAAGCUGAACUUAUUCGCUUAAUAUCCAGUAGGUUCCAUGCAAAAACUUGUUCAAUGCAUUUUGUAUUGCCAACUAACUAGCAUUUCGUUAAAUUUUAUCUCCAUUUUAAGAUAUUUUCCACAAAUGAACUAAGAUGCUUUGCUGACCCUGGAAAUAACAAUAUAAUACAUCACUAGUCACUAGUAUCAUACAAGUAAGACAGAUCAAUUUCUACAUGGGACUACUGAAAAGACAGAACAGGAAACAACAGGACAUACACAUAUUAGAUGGGUAAAGACGAGUCUUUUCUGUUUUUCUACCAAUUUUCGAUAUAGAACAAAUACAUACCAAGUUCUCGCUACAGAUGUUUUUCGAGAAUUUAUAAUGUUUAGGAUAAAUAUAGGUACACAAUACAUAUUAUGAAUGUGUUCCUUCGAAAGUAUUAUAGAUGCACAGAAUAGCUUACUAUUUGUCAAACAAUAAAGGAAUUCUGAAUUGUCUGCGUCAGUACCAUUAAAGCCAGGACUGUCCACAACCUAUUAAAACAAGACACGCUCUCAUAUACUGCUACAUGCAAAAAAGUAUCAGAUAUUUGAAAACUCAGAUAGUUGGUUUAUAUGCAAUGUUGGAGGUCUUUUUAGCGUUGACUACAAGAAAUGAGGGCGUGGAGAAAGACAACGAUUUUGCGAACUUCCUCUUUAUUAUCCAACCACAUCAAUAUUCUCUCACAUUCCCAACUUGUCUCAAACCAUGCUUGAAGUGCUACAAAUACAGAGCCACUUCAUAAAGGAGUUUUUGAAGAUUGCAAGACCACUCGGUUAUCUUUUGAUCCAUGGUGAGAUGUGUAUGGAUCAUUCUAUGAACUCAAGUCCAUCCCAUUUUCACAUUAUCAUAUGAACAGAAAGCAAAAAAAUGACAAUAUAACUUUUUGUUCUUAGAGAAUGUGAUGCUUUGAACACGAAUUCAGCCCUCUUCACCCAUGCAAUUCCCUCUAUAUUUACUUAUUCACCAUUUUUAUUUUUGAUGCUUUUCUUAAAUUAAUCUUUUUUUUAAUUAGAUGAUUCAUCACAUCAUCAUCAAAUAAAUCCUAUGUUUUUAGCAUUUCUCCCUAACACAAACAAAUAAAUCCUAUGUUUAUAGCAUUUCUCCCUAACACAAACUAUCCUAUGUUCCAAGCUUCAUGUGACACAUACUCCCUCCGUCUCAAAAUAAGUGUCUCAAGCUUAAUACAAUUUUGUAUUAGAGGUAGUACAAAGUUGAGACACUUAUUUUAGGACGGAGGGAGUAGAUGAAAGGACGUGUAGGCAACUAAUGAUGUAUUGGUAAUUAAUGACGAUCAAUUUAAAGGACUGACAUGUAUUAUAAGUGUACAAGCACACCAAAUGAUUGUUGUCGGGCAUCAAAUAUUGAGUUCAUGCUCCAGCCAACUCAUCCAAAAGUGAGGAAGGCGGGCAAUAUAUUUCAACACCCCCCUCACGUCUAGAUUAUUUUAGUCCUUGACGUGGGAUCGAUGUAGGCCGCAGAAUAUUUUUAUUUUAAUAUUGCGUUAGCAGGAUCUUGAACUCAAGACCUCUUGACUCGGAUACCAUAUUGAAUUCAUGCUCCAGUCGACUCAUCCAAAAGUCCGAACUGAUGGAGAAAGGCGGGCAAUAUAUUCCAACAUCAGAAACCGUACAAAAAGGAAAGGAGAAAACAAAACGGUGGGUUUGGGUUGAAGGUUAUAUUUCUUUAUGCUUUACUUAUGGAACACACAUUUGAGUCAUGGGGAAGACACACUUUUAAGAGGGGACGUCAAAAUCCCAUGAGUAUAGCUCAUUGUAAUGCUAUGAUCUUUGCCAACCCAAGCCAAGAUAUGGACCUACCUUGUGCCCCGUGGACGAGGGCAGUCGGAUGUCAACUAGGAACUUAUAGAUGAAGCCUACCUUGAACCAUAAGCCAAGAACUCUAGACCCUUGGCCCAAAAUUGCGAAUGUGUACCUGAGCCAAAAUGUUAGUUCGGACAUCUCCAAGCAAAACCCAAGGUCUCUAAAGAUGGUGGAUGAAAAUUCCAUGCAGCCUCGAUCGAGAAAUUACGGGUUGUCGAAAGUUCUAACUCACGCGUCCAUUAUGCAAAUCCAAUGUAUAAUAUCAAGUGUCACAUCAUCCAAAAGUGAGCAUGAAGUCUAUGAUGGUUAAUUCCGAGUUGGAGCCUAUAAAUAUCCCCUUUGCCCCAAGCACGGCACACUCUUUGUUGACUUCAAAUCCAACACUUCAAUAACUCGCCGACCUAUCCGAAAGGUCAUUGAGCCAACUCUUGGAGGAAGAGAGUGGGUUUGAGAGACACUUUAGAAACUCCAAACUUGACAUGGGAGGAGUCCGCAAAGAUAGAUCUGAAGGACUGGAAUAUCACCAAAGAACUAGCCAUGGACAGGGAUGCGUGGAAGUUAGGCUAUGCACGUGCUAGAGCCAUGACUUGGUUUCGAGAUCUUAUGGGUAUCAACUCUAGCCUACCCUAACUUGUUUGGGACUGAAAGACUGGUAUUUUUAAAUGAGUGAAAUCUGGGAUCUACAUGAUCAAGAGUAUCGAAUAUUCCUCUUGAGAACGUCAUGCCCAUUCUUGCAGUAUGGAGUUCCUACGAAAUGGGAGUCACUAGGAAGCAACCGACAUUAUGGAUUUUCUCUAGGAGUUUGUGAAGGCUAGAGACAGCCUAAACAUCUACCUAGCCAAAGCUCAAGGAGAAGAAGGCUCGGCUGUUACGACUCUAAGGAUGUUGGUCUCCAAGAUUCUCAAGUGGAGAAAUGGAAACCCCGCAAAGAUUUGAAUUCUAGGAAUAAAUUCCUCGUCUACGCAUCACUUUUGUUGAUUCUACUACUUUGCCUUGUUUGUAUGUCCACAUAGCUUGUUUAUAGUCUUACUAGAAUUGCACCUAGAGAACCUUUACAUCUCUACAAAUGCUUUUAUUU